CCGCGCAAAAGUAUCAAGUAAAAUGUCUGCAGGUUUGUCCGCGAGAAGUUUGAAGAAGAAAUCCAACGAAAUUAAUCCUUUAGAGCUGCCAUCGCAUCUUCGCAAGUUGCAAGAUAUCAAUUUAAGAAUGUAUUGAGAUAAGCGGCUUGAAAAAGUACUAAUAGUUUCUUCAAUAGGCAUACAGUAAAGCAGUUAAAUAUCGGUCUCGUACAACAAUAAGUACAGUAAAAGUGUAAUUAGUGCACGAUCAUCGUCGUAAACACGCGACACCUACACUUGAUCGAUGCCCGCAGACGCGUUUUUAGCUGACGAACUGUCAGAAUUUUCUUGCGUCAUUCGCGGCUAACAUCGCUAAAGUGCGCAGAGCAGCAAAGUGCGGUGAAUUGAGAUUUUUCUC